rnacentral:tRNA from 1 species
UUAAUUGAAGCCAAAAAGAGGCCUAUCACUGUUAAUGAUAUUACUGAGAACAAUCUCCAAUUAAG